CGGCCCGACGCCCCCAGGUCCUAGAGCGCAACCCCGAGCACGCCGCGGCGGGGUGGGGGUGGUAACGCCACAGCCGAGUCUGUGCAAUGGGGGCUGUGUUCUUUAGGCGUCCACGCGGUGGCCUAGCGUCCAGGGAGCAGUCAGCAGCACUGGAAAGGGACAGAAACUGGGGAUCGUAUGACGCGCCCUCAUGGCUUCCUUGGGGGGAAACACAUGCCGGGGUGGAGAGGCUCAAAGGCAGGAAGGACUAAGGAGCAAGAAGCUGGCCAAGUCGGUGCCCUAGGCCAUCAGGACCUCGCGAGUUCCCCUGCAUGUGACCGAGAGUCUGGAAAUUCCGUCUCUGGGUGGGCGGCGCCCCAGUGAUAGCCUCACCAGUGCCCAGGCUUCAGGGUAUCCAGUCUCCAACUGCACCUUGGAACAGGACGGGGGGUGGGGCCAGUUGGCCCACUCAGGCUAGGUCUCCAGGCUGCAGAGGACUGCUGGUCCUCCUGCCCAAGGUUGGUGAAUGGAUGGGUGGAGCCAGGUGGGCCCAGAGUGGACAUUUCUCCAUUGAAUGCUCCAAGAUAAGCUACUGUGGGGGUCAGACAGAGAUGACCCAGAGGCCCCGACACAGACCUUCCAAAGGGGGAGUAAGCUCUGCCCAGUUCCCAGCUGCCCCAUCCAGCCCUUUCAGAUUCCAAGAGGAGAGCGGUUGAAGUGCUAGCCUUGGCCUUUGACACUGGUCCUCUGAAUGGCCCUUCUAGAACCUGGCUGUUGUCGGGGAGUUAAUCCUUCCGCAGGUUGUUACACAUGGAGAGGUCCACAUGGAGACUACUGGCAGGUUCUGUCCCGCCACAAGGCGAGUGGGUGACUUAUCACAGAGUUGGCUGGCCACAUGGGAGGCCCCUUUGUUCAGCAGAGCAACCACUGGAGGGGCUUUCUGAGGGGAGCCAGUACAGGCGAGGCUGGCAGGGAAAGGAUUCCACAUGGCCAGAGGGGCCCAGAACCCCUAGGAAGAGAAAGGAGCUUUCUGAAUUGGUCACCUACCCCGGCCUGCAGUUUUGUCUAACUGAAUCCUGGGCCUGAGGUUGAAGCUCUAUUGUGGACCUUCUGAUGAACGUGAUCAGGGUGUAGCUCCUGGCUCCUGUGCCAUGCCUGCCUGCUGCUGUGCUCCCCGCCAUGCCG